rnacentral:rRNA from 1 species
AUUGAACGCUGGCGGCAGGCCUAACACAUGCAAGUCGAGCGGAUGAAGGGAGCUUGCUCCUGGAUUCAGCGGCGGACGGGUGAGUAAUGCCUAGGAAUCUGCCUGGUAGUGGGGGAUAACGUCCGGACACGGGCGCUAAUACCGCAUACGUCCUGAGGGAGAAAGUGGGGGAUCUUCGGACCUCACGCUAUCAGAUGAGCCUAGGUCGGAUUAGCUAGUUGGUGGGGUAAAGGCCUACCAAGGCGACGAUCCGUAACUGGCCUGAGAGGAUGAUCUGUCACACUGGAACUGAGACACGGUCCAGACUCCUACGGGAGGCAGCAGUAGGGAAUAUUGGACAAUGGGCGAAAGCCUGAUCGAGCCAUGCCGCGUGUGUGAAGAAGGUCUUCGGAUUGUAAAGCACUUUAAGUUGGGAGGAAGGGAAGUAAGUUAAUACCUUGCCGUCUUGACGUUACCUACAGAGUAAGCACCGGCUAACUUCGUG